UUUUCGAAGAACCAAACAACCAGAAACAUAUACUCAAUGUAGUCACGCUUACCAAAGCGCACAAGGAUACAGCAAGUAAAUAAUUUAAGGCGUAAGAUUGUCAAUUUGUGAAAUUGUGAGUUGAAUAUUUGAGCGGAUUUUCUCCAAUUCUUGAAGGGGCAUCAGAGCACUAGGUUCAGGAUCCAUUUUUUCGCAAGAUUCAAAAAGGCGUUUUGAUUCACGAUCUAGCGCAGAUAUCAUAGUAGGUAAUCGGGGAAGGACCUCUGAAACUUGAUUGAUUUGUUGGUUCAAAACUCUCAGAGAGUCAUUAAGUGUUUUAUCAAACUCAGACAAAAGGUGCUG